rnacentral:rRNA from 1 species
UUGGUGGAUCAGUGGCGAACGGGUGAGUAACACGUGAGCAACCUGCCCUGGACUCUGGGAUAAGCGCUGGAAACGGCGUCUAAUACUGGAUAUGAGCUCUCAUCGCAUGGUGGGGGUUGGAAAGAUUUUUUGGUCUGGGAUGGGCUCGCGGCCUAUCAGCUUGUUGGUGAGGUAAUGGCUCACCAAGGCGUCGACGGGUAGCCGGCCUGAGAGGGUGACCGGCCACACUGGGACUGAGACACGGCCCAGACUCCUACGGGAGGCAGCAGUGGGGAAUAUUGCACAAUGGGCGGAAGCCUGAUGCAGCAACGCCGCGUGAGGGAUGACGGCCUUCGGGUUGUAAACCUCUUUUAGCAGGGAAGAAGCGAGAGUGACGGUACCUGCAGAAAAAGCGCCGGCUAACUACGUGCCAGCAGCCGCGGUAAUACGUAGGGCGCAAGCGUUAUCCGGAAUUAUUGGGCGUAAAGAGCUCGUAGGCGGUUUGUCGCGUCUGCUGUGAAAUCCCGAGGCUCAACCUCGGGCCUGCAGUGGGUACGGGCAGACUAGAGUGCGGUAGGGGAGAUUGGAAUUCCUGGUGUAGCGGUGGAAUGCGCAGAUAUCAGGAGGAACACCGAUGGCGAAGGCAGAUCUCUGGGCCGUAACUGACGCUGAGGAGCGAAAGGGUGGGGAGCAAACAGGCUUAGAUACCCUGGUAGUCCAC